rnacentral:tRNA from 1 species
CGUGGAGUCCGUUGGCGUCCGCCAAACACCGCCGACCCAAGAUCGGACACCUUGUCAUGCGUAGGUCGUCGGUUCGAAUCCGGCAGGGGGCUCCA